rnacentral:rRNA from 1 species
CAGGAUGAACGCUGGCGGUAUGCGUAACACAUGCAAGUCGAACGAAGUUUUUCGGAACUUAGUGGCGGACGGGUGAGUAACGCGUGAGAAUCUGCCUUAAGGAUUGGGACAACAGUGGGAAACCGCUGCUAAUACCAAAUAUGCCUUUUAGUGAAACGGGUAAAACCGCCUUAAGAUGAGCUCGCGUCUGAUUAGCUAGUAGGUGUGGUAAGAGCGCACCUAGGCGACGAUCAGUAGCUGGUCUGAGAGGACGACCAGCCACACUGGGACUGAGACACGGCCCAGACUCCUACGGGAGGCAGCAGUGAGGAAUUUUCCGCAAUGGGCGAAAGCCUGACGGAGCAAUACCGCGUGAGGGAGGAAGGUUCUUGGAUUGUAAACCUCUUUGGGCAGAGAAGAAUAAUGACGGUAUCUGAGGAAUAAGCAUCGGCUAACUCCGUGCCAGCAGCCGCGGUAAUACGGAGGAUGCAAGCGUUAUCCGGAAUGAUUGGGCGUAAAGGGUCUGUAGGUGGUUGUUCAAGUCUGCUGUUAAAGCGUCUGGCUUAACCAGAUAAAGGCGGUGGAAACUGAACGACUAGAGUGCGGUAGGGGUAGAGGG